rnacentral:rRNA from 1 species
AUGGAUGCGGUUCCUCUCACCCGGGAGGGCCGUGGCUUGGGGGUUGGCCGUCUUCCCUUGUCUUCGUCAGUGUUCUUAUUGUUCGUGCUCAGGUGCCCCCUUCAUGUGUCUCUGCUGUGGCGAUGCCUAUGUGACUACACCGGUGGCACACAGGUGUUGUGGCGUCGUCUCGGCUCACGAAACCUUUCGAUUGCGCCCCACGACACAGGUGGUGUCGUGGCGUUGGGCAGUCUCGGUUGCGUGGCGCUUUUCGAUUACGUCGACGGUGCAGUGUCUUGGUUUGGUCUACUAGGUGAUGCCCUUCGGCCUUGUCGGUGGCACACAGGUGUCGUGGUGUCGUCUCGACUCGUGUGUCCUUUCGAUUGCACCCCACGGCACAGGUGGUGUCGCGGCGUUGUGUACUCUCGGAUGCGCGGCGUCUUUUGA